GAUGAACGCUGGCGGCGUGCCUAAUACAUGCAAGUCGAGCGAACAGACGAGGAGCUUGCUCCUUCGACGUUAGCGGCGGACGGGUGAGUAACACGUAGGUAACCUACCUAUAAGACUGGGAUAACUUCGGGAAACCGGAGCUAAUACCGGAUAAUAUUUCGAACCGCAUGGUUCGAUAGUGAAAGAUGGCUUUGCUAUCACUUAUAGAUGGACCUGCGCCGUAUUAGCUAGUUGGUAAGGUAACGGCUUACCAAGGCAACGAUACGUAGCCGACCUGAGAGGGUGAUCGGCCACACUGGAACUGAGUCACGGUCCAGACUCCUACGGGAGGCAGCAGUAGGGAAUCUUCCGCAAUGGGCGAAAGCCUGACGGAGCAACGCCGCGUGAGUGAUGAAGGUCUUCGGAUCGUAAAACUCUGUUAUUAGGGAAGAACAAACGUGUAAGUAACUGUGCACGUCUUGACGGUACCUAAUCAGAAAGCCACGGCUAACUACGUG
rnacentral:rRNA from 1 species